CAAAAAAGACUUCUUUCGUGGACAGGCUGAGAAUCAUCGUCACCACCAUCACCCUGUAUCUAAUCCCAAGACGGCUCUCCAGGGCUGCAGAAACUUUCUUCCCACGCUGCCUGCCAGCGCCCCCGACCCCACCCCGUUUCCUGUAACUUCUCCUAGAUAUAGCCCAGCUGGGUCUUCUCAUCAUAAUGCAAAUGACCCAAGGUCUUAAGCCCGUCAGCGUGGAAGGGAACCUCCAGCAGAAACCGGCCACUCCAAAACAGAGAAAGACGACAGCCAGAGCCAUGACCCAGCACAGCUCAUGCAAACACUAGGAUCCAUAAGAAAGUGCUGGACCUUCAAGGAGAGGAGAAACAGGUACUCCCUCAGGCUCCAGUCCAUUCAUUUCUUCACUACUUCAUUCAUUCAACAAAAACUGAUUAAAUUACCGGGUUCAA